GGCUUUUGGACAUNGUCCGGUUUGAUCGGCAGAGAUGCCUUUCUUCAGUUCGGCUGGCCGGAACACAGGUGCUGCAUGGCUGUCGUCAGCUCGUGUCGUGAGAUGUUGGGUUAAGUCCCGCAACGAGCGCAACCCUCGCCCCUAGUUGCCAUCAUUCAGUUGGGAACUCUAGGGGGACUGCCGGUGAUAAGCCGCGAGGAAGGUGGGGAUGACGUCAAGUCCUCAUGGCCCUUACAGGCUGGGCUACACACGUGCUACAAUGGCGGUGACAAUGGGCAGCGAAAGGGCGACCUCGAGCUAAUCCCAAAAAGCCGUCUCAGUUCAGAUUGCACUCUGCAACUCGAGUGCAUGAAGGUGGAAUCGCUAGUAAUCGUGGAUCAGCAUGCCACGGUGAAUACGUUCCCGGGUCUUGUACACACGAAA
rnacentral:rRNA from 2 species